GAUGAAAUUUCUGGACCAUAUUAUAACUCUUUUUAAUUUUUUGAGAAGUUAUCAAGUUUUUUUCCAUAGGAGCUGUACCAUUUCCAUUUCCAUCAGCAGU
rnacentral:pre_miRNA from 1 species